UGCCAGGAUGUCGUACGCUACAGUGUCAAAACUAUGUCAUUACUCCAUGAAGAAGGCAGCCUCCUUUCUUGGGAUUGGUACUGAGAACGUUUGCUUUGUGGAAACAGAUGGAAGAGGUAAAAUGAUACCUGAGGAACUGGAAAAACAAGUCUGGAAAGCCAGA